ensembl:rRNA 5S_rRNA 5S ribosomal RNA
GUUUAUGGUCAUACCACCCUGAGCAGACCAGAUCUCAUCUGAUCUUGGAAGCUUAGCAGGGUCAGGACUGGUACUAGCUAGUGGUUAAUACUUGGAUGGGAGACCGCCUGGGAAUACCAGGUGCUGUAAGUU